CAUCAGGAUUGUUUAUGAGAUCUCCGAAAGGCGUAACAGUGAUGACCUCACUCUGCCUCAGCCCCAGUGAAUCAUGGGAUACAGGAAGCAAGGUCUCUUAACGCCAGACACCCAGGGUCGGACCAGACGAUCAGCGCCUCAAACGCUGGCCCAAGACAAACCCUGCCCAACGGCCAGACUCAUUCAAUCUAUAAUGCAUGUCUGAUACAUAAAGGUCCCUGCAGGCCAAGAACAGAGAUUCCUGCUCCAGGCUCCUUCCUCCACAUUAAAGACACAUGACGGUGCAUCUCAGCCUUGGCGUGGGCCUUGGGUUCCCCGCCCCAGGCGACCGGCGCCCCCACCACCCCGUGGAAGCUGGACGGGCAGUACGGCCCGAACGGCGGCUCCAGAUAGUGCCCCGCUCCUGGGUACACCACCUUCUCAAAGUUGUCCUUCCCCUGACGUCUCAGCCGCUCCGUCAUCUGGUCGGCAAAAAGACAACUGUCCCAGUUGAGGUCGUCCUCGGCGGCCACGAAGAGGAAGUGCCCUGUGGCUCGUUCGAUGGGGAUCAGGGAUCCCUCGUUCUCCGGAGCCAGAGGGUCGUGAAGGCUGUGCUUUACGUUCAAAGCCCCAGACUUGGUGACUGUGUUGUGCUUGGAGUCGUACAUCAGGGCAGAGUGUAUUUGACUUCCUCUGUAGUAGAGGGGUAUGGCAACAUUGGAGCAGCAGCCGUUUAUCCAUGCGGUGGCUUUAACGUUUGGUAAGUGUGUGGCGAUAGAAAGUGCCAGAUCUCCGCUCUUGGAUAUUGAUAUAAUGCCAACGCCCGAAUCCAUAGCCUGUGAGUAAAAAACACUGUUAAUGUAACAUGCAAUAUCCCAGCAUAUGAGCCACUUUUAUAGUUACAUAGUUAAUAAUAAUUAAUAAACUUAAACCAAUUCGACCAAUCAAAGCAGACUGUGCUACUCGGGAGGGGGGCCUUAAAGCGACAUGAUUCAAAUCAGACCGUUUUUGAGAGAUGCUGUAAAUGGUUGAGCAGAAAUGAACAGUGUGAGAAUAAUAAGAGGUAUUUCUAACAUACAGGCAUGUAUUCUAGUAGUACCCCCAAAUGCCAUUAUUACCCUUAAAAAGCAUGAUAUGGGAUCUGUA